rnacentral:rRNA from 1 species
UGGGGAAUAUUGGACAAUGGGCGAAAGCCUGAUCCAGCCAUGCCGCGUGUGUGAAGAAGGUCUUCGGAUUGUAAAGCACUUUAAGUUGGGAGGAAGGGCAGUAAGCGAAUACCUUGCUGUUUUGACGUUACCGACAGAAUAAGCACCGGCUAACUCUGUGCCAGCAGCCGCGGUAAUACAGAGGGUGCAAGCGUUAAUCGGAAUUACUGGGCGUAAAGCGCGCGUAGGUGGUUCGUUAAGUUGAAUGUGAAAGCCCCGGGCUCAACCUGGGAACUGCAUCCAAUACUGGCGAGCUAGAGUAGGGCAGAGGGUGGUGGAAAUUCCUGUGUAGCGGUGAAAUGCGUAGAUAUAGGAAGGAACACCAGUAGCGAAGGCGACCACCUGGGCUCAUACUGACACUGAGGUGCGAAAGCGUGGGGAGCAAACAGG